rnacentral:rRNA from 1 species
UACGUAGGGUGCAAGCGUUGUCCGGAAUUAUUGGGCGUAAAGAGCUCGUAGGCGGUCUGUCGGGUCGGCUGUGAAAACCCGGAGCUCAACUCCGGGCCUGCAGUCGAUACGGGCAGACUGGAGUUCGGCAGGGGAGACUGGAAUUCCUGGUGUAGCGGUGAAAUGCGCAGAUAUCAGGAGGAACACCGGUGGCGAAGGCGGUGGUCUGGGCCGGUACUGACGCUGAGGAGCGAAAGCGUGGGGAGCAAACAGG